rnacentral:rRNA from 1 species
AACUUAUCCAAGUUGCUUCGGCGGCGCGGCUCCCCUCACGGGGGACCGCAGCCCCCGCCUCUCAGGAGGUAAGGGGCAGCCGCCGGAGGUACGAAACUCUGUAUUAUAAUGGUAUCUCUGAGUAUAAAACAAAUAAGUUAAAACUUUCAACAACGGAUCUCUUGGUUCUGGCAUCGAUGAAGAACGCAGCGAAAUGCGAUAAGUAAUGUGAAUUGCAGAAUUCAGUGAAUCAUCGAAUCUUUGAACGCACAUUGCGCCCGCUAGUACUCUAGCGGGCAUGCCUGUUCGAGCGUCAUUUCAACCCUCAAGCUCUGCUUGGUGUUGGGGCUCUACGUCUGACGUAGGCCCUGAAAGGAAGUGGCGGGCUCGCUACAACUCCGAGCGUAGUAAUUCAUUAUCUCGCUAGGGAAGUGUGGCGUUCUCCAGCCGUUAAAGACCCCAUCUUUAACCAAGGUUGACCUCGGAUCAGGUAGGAAUACCCGCUGAACUUAAGCAUAUCAAUAAGCGGAGGA